GCUCGGGCAGCUUGCCACUAUGGCUGGUAUAGAUCAGUCAGAUUUCCACCUGUUAGGUCGUCCCCAGAUGAGUUCUACGGUUAACACACCUGUGGAAGAACAGAAAGGACUUGAAGAUGAAAAUCUGGAUCUGAAGCAGACUGCUGUAGGACAAAUGCAGGACAUCGGUGUAAGUGGACCUGUCAGGCUUGGUUCAAGCCGUUAGCAAGGAGUUCCCCGGGUCAGAGAAAGGAAUGGCGGACUGUCUCUGGCAGAGUUAAGUCUGUGCCUAUUUCCAGAAGCUGCAUGGUUGUCAGUAAGGAAAUGGGGCUGGGCAUGAUGGUGGGAUGCACGCCUUAGAUCCUGGCGCUUGGGAGGCAGGGACUGACGGGUCUGCAUAAUGAAUUCCAAAGCAGUCGAGACUUCAUAGUGAGACCUUAUCUCAAAAGAAAAGAGACAAAACUGGAAGUUUUAUGAUAAUUUAUACUUGAAAUAAGCAACCUUCAUUGAAGAAAGAGAGUAAAGAGAUAAUCAGAAUUUAAAGUUU
rnacentral:lncRNA from 1 species